UCCACACGAAGCUCCCGUCUGAUCAGCUCCUCACGAAUGCUAGUUCGUGAUUUCACCCUUUUGAUGGCAGAUGUUGAUCGAACUCCUUCGAUCGAUGUGUGCCGACUUCUCGGAUGCUCUGGAUCAUCUGCACAGUUGCUUGAGAGGCUGAUGGAUCUCUCCCUAAAAUUUGAUGGACUCACGACACUCGUGGCACACCAAUCUCACUUCCCGAACACUCGUGGCACACUCGUGGCACAGUUGCUUGAGAGGCUGAUGGAUCUUUCUUUUUCUCUCAGAAGGUUUUGGACCUUCACCUCACACACCAACCUUCCUCAUGCCCCACUUUCUUUCUCUUAAUUUUUUUGCGCACACCCCACCUUUCUGCCAAUUUUAAAACAACGUCGAACGUGUCUUAUCCGCGUGAGAGGAUAAAGACAAGUGGUUGCACAUUUGAAUUCAAAUCAAAUUUGAAUUCAAAUGAAAACCAACUUAUCCCUAUCCUUUUGGGCGUGAGAAGAGAAGGGACGUGACUCUUUGUGCGUGGAAAAUAUUUCAUGAGAAACCUUUUCUCGUGUAAGUAAUGUGGUGCACAAAAUGGAUAAGGAUGAAGGGGCAAGUGAUAAGUUAUCCAUUCAAAUGGUGCACAAAUGAGGGCGUGGGGAAGGGUUUUGCAUGAGAAAAAUUUCACGAGAAGUUUCUUCUCGUGAAUUCAAAUGGGUGCAAGGAAGUUGGGUGUCGCAGGGAAUUUAAAACAAG
rnacentral:lncRNA from 1 species